CCUACGGGAGGCAGCAGUGAGGAAUAUUGGUCAAUGGACGAGAGUCUGAACCAGCCAAGUAGCGUGAAGGAUGACUGCCCUAUGGGUUGUAAACUUCUUUUAUAUGGGAAUAAAACAGGGUAUGCAUACCCUCUUGUAUGUACCAUAUGAAUAAGGAUCGGCUAACUCCGUGCCAGCAGCCGCGGUAAUACGGAGGAUCCGAGCGUUAUCCGGAUUUAUUGGGUUUAAAGGGAGCGUAGGUGGUUUGUUAAGUCAGUUGUGAAAGUUUGCGGCUCAACCGUAAAAUUGCAGUUGAAACUGGCAGUCGUGAGUGCAGUAGAGGUGGGCGGAAUUCGUGGUGUAGCGGUGAAAUGCUUAGAUAUCACGAAGAACUCCGAUUGCGAAGGCAGCUCACUGGACUGCAACUGACACUGAUGCUCGAAAGUGUGGGUAUCAAACAGGAUUAGAUACCCUAGUAGUC
rnacentral:rRNA from 1 species